CCUCUCAAAGAAGCUCGCGCGCGGGGAUGGGCCUGCGUCCUAUCAGCUAGUUGGUAGGGUAACGGCCUACCAAGGCUUCGACGGGUAGCUGGUCUGAGAGGAUGAUCAGCCACACUGGCACUGGAACACGGGCCAGACUCCUACGGGAGGCAGCAGUGAGGAAUUUUGCGCAAUGGGAGAAAUCCUGACGCAGCAACGCCGCGUGGGUGAAGAAGGCCUUCGGGUCGUAAAGCCCUGUCGGGUGGGAAGAAAUCCCGGGGAAGAAUAUACUUUCGGGUUGACGGUACCACCAAAGGAAGCACCGGCUAACUCCGUGCCAGCAGCCGCGGUAA
rnacentral:rRNA from 1 species